GACAUCCUUCGCACUCUCAUUUCGUCCAGCUUCGCCCGGAACAAGAACGAGACAAAGUCGCUUUCCUGUUUUUCGCCCUUCGCCAUUCUCAACACCCUCCGCGGUUUUGCGCUCAACUCUUGUUUUUGUUUUUUUUCAAACAACAUCCACUUCGGUUUGUAAAUUUAGAAGUUUAUUUCGAGUCGAGUAGCGCGAAAGUGGGAGUUUAGGAAACUCCAGGCCUGGUCAGUUGCCACGAUGAGUCCGCCGACGGAUCCGCUUUGAAUAUGUUUAACUUUUUCAAAAAGAAAAAAGAUGUCCACGCGAAAGGGAGGAGGCAGAAGAGGCACCCGGAGCCAGAGAGGCCGCCGAGAAAGACGGAAGUGAAGAAACUAGUUGAAAUGGGCAACAACUAUUCUAAAUUGGACGACUGCAAUAAAGACGGGAUAUCGCCCAUUGAAACUAACCAGUUCGAUCGAAUUCCAAUGUCUCCAGCAGUAAACGCGUCUCAAGAAGAUGGGCCUUCUUCUAAAAAACUUACAACUGGAAUAAACAUUUAUGAGAAAUUUUCCAAUACAGAAGGAUCUUGUAAAAUAGAAAAUGAUGAUUUGCUUAAAACAAACACAAUAUUGUAUAAUUCAUACAAUGAAAAACCCCUUAAAGAUGUAAAUACUUCCGAAUACGGCUCACAGACUAACACUGUAAUACAAAAAAUUGAUAAAGCUGACACCUCGUGUACAAUAAACAAUGAAACUGGGAAAAUAAACUUGAAAGAAGGCGUUUUGAAAGGAAACGAAGUUUUAGAUAAAAAUAUUUCUGAUGUUCAAUUGGAUGAAAUAGCUUUUAUAGAGGAAAUGGGAAAGGGAAAGAUAGAUCUUCAAGAUAUAACAUUAAUGCAGGAAAAAGAAAUUGUUUUAACUGAAGUCGCUGCUGUGCCUCAAAUCGACGAAGAGGUAGAACAAGAAAUCGACGAAAGUUUAGCGGAUUUUACUAAUUCCGAUCCAGUAACUUGCGAAGAAGAUCUCAGCAACAAUGUCGUAAACAAAUGUGAAAAUAUAAAAUUAAAUAUUGAGGAGAUAAAAUACGAAAUGAUUCCAGAAAAGACUGAUAAUUUAAAGACUGCCGUCGAUAGUGAGAGCCCAGAAAUACUGAAGAAGAACAUAAACGAUUCACGUGCGAAGUUUUUCGACGAGCUGUUGGGAGGGGACCGAAAAGGGAAGGACGGGGAGGCCGAUGCCAAGACCGAGCCAGUCAAGAAAGAGUCACCGAGCGAUGAGGAGAUGAUUAGCCUGAGGUCAAUUGGUCUUAUCGAGUCUUUUCCGUCGAUCCGCGAGGAAGAUGAAGAAGAGCCGAAAUUCUUAAAAAAGAAGAAACACGUCCAUUGGGCGGAUUCGGAAGAAGGCAGAUGUCUAGAGAGUUACGAGGAGUUUUUGACGCCGUCAUCUUCCUCGGAGGACGAGGAGGUGGACGACGACGGCGAAGAGAAAGACGUCGACGGGGAUAGUGACGAAGUCGACGAAGACAGUCUUGAAGAAGAGUGCGACGAAGAACAGGCUGAAGACAUCAUUCCCGACGAUUGGCGUCAAGACGAUGAACCCGCGAAAGCCAAAAUCGAAUCCGAUUCUGAAGAAGAGUCAGAAAAAGAUAGUGAGAACGAGGAAGAAGAUGACGAGACUGACGAGACUGAAGAAGAAGAACAAGAAGAAAACAAUGAAGUUAUAGAAGAAUGUGUGAAACAGGCUACAAAAGAAAAUUUGGAUAGCGUUACCAAACCAGAGGAAAAAGAGGCCAUCAAAAACGACGACAGCCAGGAAGUCACCUCGCUUUAUUCCAAGCUGACUGAACUUCAAAAAGACCUACUUCAAAAGGCAUCGACUUUGGAGAGAGCUCAAACAGAACUCGAAGAUGCUUAUAAUGAAGCAGAUUAUGUUAAAAGAAAAGUUGAAAAACUUGAAUCCGACCUCGAGGAGCAAAAACAGCGAAAUUCAGAACUUGCAAGGAGAUUAAGUGAAGAUUAUGCCAACGCAGAAGACAGAAAACGGCUGAAAGAUGCUGAUAUCAAAAUAGCAGAGCUGGAGUUUAAAGUGAGAGAGAUCAGAGGUGAAAAGGAAAAACUCGAAGAAUCUCUGUCGGUUCUUAAGAUGGAGAGAGACGCUGAGUUACGGCGAGUUAAAGAUGCGCUCAAUGCGGCAUUAGCGGAGAAAAAGGAACAGGAGGCCAAGUAUCAAAAGGAAUUUGAAACGUUGAGAACGUUAAACUCCGGCAGAGAGGUUCAGAUGCUCGAAGAUUUUGAAUGGAAACUCAGAGAAGUUGAAAAAUUGGGUAAAAAGAAAAUAGCAGAAGCAAUAGAAGACAGAGAAAAAAAGAUAAUCGAGUUGUCAUCUAAACUCGAACAAGCCGAAGCUGACUUGGUGCAAUUGGUCGAGCUGAAAGCAUAUGAGGAAGAGUUAAAGCAACUCAAGGCGACAUACUCUGAGCAAAGGAAAAAUCUACGUAUCAUCCAGAGGAAAUAUGAAGAUAUUCAAGUUAACGAAAUGAUUCUUCAAGAAGAAGUGAAUCGGCUGCGAAUAGCCAUCGACAAAGAAAAGUCUGCUAUAACUAACCUUCAGGCACUCCACAGAGAAGAAAUUUCAGAAAAAGACAGAAAAAUGCUUUUUAAACUAGAAUAUCAAAAGAAUCAAUUGAAUUCUGAGUGGGAGGAGAAACUAAAAAGAGACUGUGCUAAACUAAAAUCAGAUCUGGAAAGAACGUUUAGAGAAGAAAGGAUGUCUGCUGUUGAUACUGCUAAAAGGUUAAAAGACCAAGAGCUUGCAAACCAAAGAUACAACUAUGAGAAAAAAAUUGAAGAUCUUAAAACAGAGAUCGAGGGAUAUAAAGAAAGGUUAAAAUUCAAAGAAGGCAAGCAUCAAAUGGAAUUGCAGAAAGCACAGACGAGUGCAGACAGAGAAGCGCUUGACAUGAGACGGCAGCUCGACAAGCUGGACAUGUCUUACCAAGAAAAAAUAGAAAAACUACAAGAAGACCACGAGAAAGAAAUAAACUCAUUAAAGGUAGAACAUGAAAAAAAGAUAGCUCAGUGUGAAUCAUCAUUACAACAGCAAUUAGGCACUACGAGGACAACAUUAGAGCUCGUUAAACAAAGUAUGCAAGACGAGAAUCAGAAAAAGAUUGAACAACUUGUUCGAAAGCAUGAACAAAAAAUGGCUGAACAAUGGGACAAAUGGGAAAGAGCUAAAGAAAUGGAAAUUCAGGAAUUGCAGAGCAGCCAUAGAAAAACCGUGGAACUGCUCCAGUUGCAAUUAGACGUCCUUAGAAAGUCGAAAAGCCAGAGGAUUGAGGCUGCUCCAUCAGAAUCAGCACCAAAGCACAGUACUGAUUUAGUACUGGUUGGAGACCCCUCGGCAAAAAUCUCCCACAACCCUUUGAGUGUCGGAAACAUCAUUUUCCUCACUCUCUUCCUUUCGUCCGUGUUUCCUUUUAUGUCUCCGACUACAUUUUCAUUUACGUCAAUUGUUGUGAUGUUAUAUUGCAUGGUUUUCAUGCGGUGAUAAAUAUUUAUGAAUAUUUCUGGGCGUAUUUUAAGUGUAAAUAUUAAGUACAAUAUUGUUUUGUUUUUAAAAUAUAUAUAUUAGCUUAAAGCUAGAUUUUGAUACAAAAAGAUUUUUUAUUUUUGAUGAGUUUUGCAUUUCUAAAAAAUUGCUUUUUAUCAAUGGUAAAGGAGUUGAUACGUUUCUUACAAUCUUGAAAUUAUCUUCUAAUAUCAUUAAUAAAUUAAAAUGCUAAGUGACAAAUUAACUUUUAUGAUUGAAAGGUAAUAUAGUAAAAACUGCUUUUCUAUAACUAUAAAGUAUUUUUUAUACAUACAAAUUUGUAGUUUUGCUUUUUUUGAGCCCAACUUGUGUUCAAUACUGAACAAAAUAUUUUAUAAUUAAAAACAAAAAAAAAUUAAGUUAUAACACAAUUUUACAAUAAUAUAUAAGGUUUUGCUUUAUUUCAAAAUAUCCGUCUGCUUCUUAUGACAUGUUUAGAUGCAUCGUAACACAUUAAUAUCAUUAUAAAUAUCACAAAAUCUCUGUACAGUGAAUUCAAUGUCUGAAUACUCACUUUGAUUUUGUAAUUUAUGACCACAAAAAAAUAAUUAACAACUUAAUAAAAAUUAUUAUUACAGACCACUAUGUAACCACAAUAAAUAUUAUAUUUGGAAUGCUGAUUUUUUUUUUUUAUCUAUAGCCUAUGUAAUGAAUGUUUGAUAAAUUAAAUAUUUAGUCAAUACUGUGUCAUGGACAUAGUAAAUGAGUUCCUUUCAAUUUAAAGCAUGGAUGUUCUUUAUUUUAUUAAACAUUGUGUAGUCUCUAGUAAACCAAUGAAUGAGAAUGAACACAGAUUAAAAUAAUUAAGGAAGUGUAACUAAAGAGUAAAGGUAGAACAGGGCAUCGUCUCGUUAACAACAAAUAACAAUCAUGGUACUUAAAUGAAAGAAACACCCAUUUACUCAUUUGUGCUGUUACAAAAGUUACUUUUUUUUCUUUCCAGUUUGUUUUCAUUUAUACCUCUCACUGUGCAGAUUUUAUAUAACAAAUUCAUUCAUUCAUUUCUUUAACAAUCACCAAGUAAAAAAUCUUUUGAGAUAAAAUAAAAUAAAACGACAAAGAGAGUGAUUGAAAAGAAAAGCCCGUGCUCCAUCCGUUGAACCUUUCUAUUCCUGUCUGGACAGCUCCAGAUUAGAACCUGAAAGAUGCCCAAAAGAGGAAAACAUCGAGGGGAACUUUCCUUCUGGUGAAAAGGAUUUCAAGCACACCGACAAUGAUAAAAAAACCGAUGAUAAUUUAAGGUUAGAGGAAGUCGAAGAAAUAGAAGAAAAUUUAGAAAUACCUCGAGAUGUAGCAAAAGUACAUCAACAACCACAACAACAACAACCACGCCCCCACCAUAGGCACAGGAGAAGUAGAAAAGGGAGAAGAAAUUAAGACUAUUGAUUCAUUUUAAAUGCCAAGAAAUGUUUAAGACUGCUAUCAAAUUUUUCCCUUUAAAAAUUGACUUGAGGUAGGUUGAGUAGGAUUUAAGACAAAAGACUUUUUGUCAGUAUUUUUCUCCGAGUUGUGUUCCUAAUGGCAGAAAGAAAUGGCGAAUUAAAAAAAAAAAAACUUUAAAAAACGAACAA